GCAAAUUUUCAGUGUUAAGAAUGUCGCAGGUCUUAACGCACGCAGAAUAUGCCGAUAUGGUGUUCGUUUAUGGUGUCUGCAACGCCGAAGUAUCUUUUAGAGACUAUAGCCGACGAUUUUCGAACAGACGAUUACCGAGUCUAAGAGUAUUAACUUGUGUCUUCGUCAAACUGCGUGAGACUGGUAGUAGGUUUAAAUCCGAACGUGCGAAUUAACAAAACUUGGAUGAAUUAGAACAGAUCCUUAAAUCGGUGGAAGCUAGUUCUGCUACGAGUACACGGAAAUUGCUGUACGCAUCGGUGUUCCUCACGUAAAGUACGACGGAGCGCCCAUACAUAACAGCCGCCAAGUGACACAAUACUUGAAUCAAACUUUCCCAGGACGUUGGAUCGGCCGCGGUGGUGCCAUCAGUUGGCCACCAAAGUCGCAUGACUUACUCCCCUAGAUUUUGGAUUGUAGGGAUGGCUGAAAAACGAAUUUUAACAAGAAAAAGCAAAUACGCGAGGCGAGUUAAUCAUGUCAUGAUACGCUCCAAAGAACUACACUCGAAAUUCCUCCUAGAGCUGAGAAGUGUAUUGAAGUUGGCGGUGGGAUUUUCGAACCAUUUCGCUGAACUAGUAACAGCGAAUUUUCAUUUAUUUGUAUUGAAAGUUAUUAAAUGAACUAGCUAUUAAUGAA